UACGUAGGGUGCAGGCGUUAAUCGGAAUUACUGGGCGUAAAGCGUGCGCAGGCGGCUUCUUAAGUCAGAUGUGAAAGCCCCGGGCUUAACCUGGGAACUGCGUUUGAAACUGGGAGACUUGAGUGUGGCAGAGGGGGGUGGAAUUCCACGUGUAGCAGUGAAAUGCGUAGAUAUGUGGAGGAACACCGAUGGCGAAGGCAGCCCCCUGGGCCUGCACUGACGCUCAUGCACGAAAGCGUGGGGAGCAAACAGG
rnacentral:rRNA from 1 species